UGUGGGAGCUGGCUUGCCUGCGAUAGCGGUCUGUCAGAUACAGCGGUGAUACUGACCCACCGCUAUCGCAGGCAAGCCAGCUCCCACA
rnacentral:misc_RNA from 1 species